GACGAACGCUGGCGGCGUGCCUAAUACAUGCAAGUAGAACGCUGAAGGAAGGAGCUUGCUCUUUCCGGAUGAGUUGCGAACGGGUGAGUAACGCGUAGGUAACCUGCCUGGUAGCGGGGGAUAACUAUUGGAAACGAUAGCUAAUACCGCAUAACAGUAGAUAUCGCAUGAUAGCUGCUUAAAAGGUGCAAUUGCACCACUACCAGAUGGACCUGCGUUGUAUUAGCUAGUUGGUGAGGUAACGGCUCACCAAGGCCACGAUACAUAGCCGACCUGAGAGGGUGAUCGGCCACACUGGGACUGAGACACGGCCCAGACUCCUACGGGAGGCAGCAGUAGGGAAUCUUCGGCAAUGGACGGAAGUCUGACCGAGCAACGCCGCGUGAGUGAAGAAGGUUUUCGGAUCGUAAAGCUCUGUUGUAAGAGAAGAACGAGUGUGAGAGUGGAAAGUUCACACUGUGACGGUAUCUUACCAGAAAGGGACGGCUAACUACGUGCCAGCAGCCGCGGUAAUACGUAGGUCCCGAGCGUUGUCCGGAUUUAUUGGGCGUAAAGCGAGCGCAGGCGGUUAGAUAAGUCUGAAGUUAAAGGCUGUGGCUUAACCAUAGUACGCUUUGGAAACUGUUUAACUUGAGUGCAAGAGGGGAGAGUGGAAUUCCAUGUGUAGCGGUGAAAUGCGUAGAUAUAUGGAGGAACACCGGUGGCGAAAGCGGCUCUCUGGCUUGUAACUGACGCUGAGGCUCGAAAGCGUGGGGAGCAAACAGG
rnacentral:rRNA from 1 species